rnacentral:tRNA from 1 species
NNNGUAGCUCAGUGGUAGAGCUAUCGGCUGUUAACCGAUCGGUCGUAGGUUCGAGUCCUACCUGCGGAGCCA